CUUUCAUGUCUCCUGAGGAAUGGCAAGCUUUAUAUGAAGAUUUAGGUUUCUUGGUGGAGAAUCCUAUGAGAAAAGGAAAAGGGACUAGUCAUCAAGCGUAGAGGAGCGGGGGGAUUUGUUGCUGUUUUUAAGCAGCGGACUCCCUGAGGCUGCAGACAGCUGUUGACAGCUGGAAGGGAAAGAUGGAGAGGAGGCCGCAACCAGGAGGCAGAGCGGAUAUUUUCCUAGAAGAAAUUUCUGGAUAUGUUCCAAAGCUUCUUGUUGAGACUUGCAUUUUAUAACUAUCAGACUGGCAACUAUGUGAAAGAUGGACUAGUGAGGGAAGAGACUUGCUAUGUCAAUGGGAAGACCCAUUAGGAGGCUAUUGCAAUGAUACAGGUGAGAGGGAAAGAGUCGUUAAACCAAGAUGGUGACUUUUUAAAAAAAAAGAGAUAAGAAGGUGGAUACAAGAAAUAUUAUGGAGGUCUUGGUAGCUGAUUGGCUGUGUUGGGUAAAAGAGACUGGGAUUCUUAGGCAAUAAGCCUGGAAGACUAGAAGAAUAGUCAUAUCAUUGAUGGAAAUAGGAAAGUUAGAGAAAGGGAAGGUUUUGAGGAUACAGUAAUGAGUUUUAUUUUAGACAUGUUUAAUUUGAGGUGUCUGUGGAAUACCUAGGGAGAAAUGUGCAACCAAAGUUAACAAUCUGAGAUUACAGGCUCAGGAUAAGGAUGAGAGUUGGAAAUGUACUUUUGACAACUGUCUAUAUUAUUCAUGACCCAAAAUACCAGCCACGAAAAGGUGGUCUCUACACUUAUAUGGACUUUGAUUGGGAAAUGAAAGCAGGCUUUUUUCUCUGUCUGUUUGGUUUAUUUUCCUCAAACUGUAAUAACUUUAGGAAAAAUCUCCAAAACAAAGCUUAAGUAUACUCAUUCCAUUUAUGUGUCAGAUCUAAGGAUAAGGAAAGAAUUAUGACCAAAUGAGAGAGAGAGCCUAACAAAAUGUAAAAUAGUUUAUUUUGAUUAUAUACAAU
rnacentral:lncRNA from 1 species